GUGAAUCAUCGAAUUUUUGAACGCAAAUUGCGCCUUUUUCUGAAGGCAUGUGUGUUUGAGUUCACCAUUUAGCGAAUAAUUUGCAGGGUUUUUUGUGGCACACGUUGAUGAGCUUUCCAAGAAUUUUAAAUUUUUGCUGGCGCAUAAUGAACAGCGUGACAGUUUUUUUCAGUUCGAGUGUAUUAAAAUCUUUGCGUGGGUUGUGAAGAAACAUAAUCUCGCAAUGGGUGUGGCAAUUUCUGUUUAUGCCUGCCCCAAUGCCACUCUUUCUCACGGAAUAAUGU
rnacentral:misc_RNA from 1 species